rnacentral:rRNA from 1 species
ACUACGGGCGGCAGCAGUGAGGAAUAUUGGUCAAUGGGCGCGAGCCUGAACCAGCCAAGUAGCGUGAAGGAUGACUGCCCUACGGGUUGUAAACUUCUUUUAUAAAGGAAUAAAGUGAGGCACGUGUGCCUUUUUGUAUGUACUUUAUGAAUAAGGAUCGGCUAACUCCGUGCCAUCCGCCGCGGUAAUACGGAGAAUCCGAGCGUUAUCCGGCUUUAUUGGGUUUAAAGGGAGCGUAGAUGGGUUGUUAAGUCAGUUGUGAAAGUUUGCGGCUCAACCGUAAAAUUGCAAUUGAUACUGGCAGUCUUGAGUACAGUUGAGGUAGGCGGAAUUCGUGGUGUAGCGGUGAAAUGCUUAGAUAGCACGAAGAACUCCGAUUGCGAAGGCAGCUUACUAAACUGCCACUGACAUUGAUGCUCGAAAGUGUGGGUAUCAAACAGGAUUAGAUACCCGGGUAGUC